rnacentral:rRNA from 1 species
CUCCAUCACACCGCAUGGUGUGUUGGGAAAGCCUUUGCGGCAUGGGAUGGGGUCGCGUCCUAUCAGCUUGAUGGCGGGGUAACGGCCCACCAUGGCUUCGACGGGUAGCCGGCCUGAGAGGGCGACCGGCCACAUUGGGACUGAGAUACGGCCCAGACUCCUACGGGAGGCAGCAGUGGGGAAUAUUGCACAAUGGGCGCAAGCCUGAUGCACCGACGCCGCGUGAGGGAUGGAGGCCUUCGGUUUGUAAAAUUCUUUUGUUGGGGAGCAAGGCACUUUGUGUUGAGUGUACCUUUCGAAUUAGCACCGGCUAACUACGUGCCAGCAGCCGCGGUAAUACGUAGGGUGCAAGCGUUAUCCGGAAUUAUUGGGCGUAAAGGGCUCGUAGGCGGUUCGUCGCGUCCGGUGUGAAAGUCCAUCGCUUAACGGUGGAUCCGCGCCGGGUACGGGCGGGCUUGAGUGCGGUAGGGGAGACUGGAA